rnacentral:rRNA from 1 species
CUGUGUGAAUGCAAGGGUGCACA